GUAUUUCAUCCCUUAAACACUUCCUUCAGACCCAGUUUCAAACAAAAGGCUUGGGUCUACUCAAGUGCUUCUUAGGUGUUGCAGUUAUGAGAAGUAAGAAAGGUAUAUUCUUGUUUCAGAGGAAGUAUGUUCUUGAUCUACUAACAGAAAUUGAGAAAUUAGGUGCUAAGCCUUACAGUACACCAAUGACCCCAAAUUUGCAACUUGGAGCAAAGGAUGGUAAGCUAUUUGAAGAUUCAAAAAAUUACAAGAAGUUGGUAGGUAAAUUGAACUAUCUUACAACAACUCGUCCUAAUAGCAUAUCCAGUCAGUGUGGUAAGUUAGUUUAUAUCUUUUCCAACUGUUGCUCAGUGGGAAGCUUUGAGACAAAUUUUUUGUUAUUUGAAGGGAGCUCCAA
rnacentral:misc_RNA from 1 species